AUCAAUAAAAUUCCUAAAUCAGAGUCGCUCUCAACUCUCUCUCUCACUCUAGACAAUCCUCUUUUUUCCUCUAAAGGAAAAUUCUAGAUAUCUUAUACUCUCCCCAAAGCUCACAAGUACAAAUAACCUGUUAUUCACUUCCUUGACUUGUCUCCAAUAGUCUUUCUACUCUUUGUCAUCACUCUUCCACUCAAAUAGCCCAUUUAUCCCUCUCCUUAUAUGGUUCCCAGCACACUACUGCCUAAAUUUCCCUUGAAUUUCAACAUAAUUACCAUGGCAGGUCCUAUUUCAUAAUCCAUAUAUUACCUCAUCCUUAGUCUACCUAGCCACCCCUUUCAGCCACUCCUUUGCAAGUUAAAACACCCUCCCAAUACAAUAACCAUCCGCUACAUAUCCUCGGUUAUUAACCUUACCAUUUGCAGUUCCAUCUUUCACGUUCUGGUUUGCCUAUUCCAAUUUUUCCUCACUCUUCAACCUAUGUUCACCUUAAUUUUUUCCACUCCUAGUCCCUAAGUGCUCAUUUUAUUCUCCUUGAUAAUUCCAUACUAAUCUGCCUCCAAUUUGCAUGCCCACAU
rnacentral:lncRNA from 1 species